CCUACGGGGGGCAGCAGUGAGGAAUAGUGGUCAAUGGGCGCGAGCCUGAACCAGCCAAGUAGCGAGAAGGAUGACUGCCCUACGGGUUGUAAACUUCGUUUAUAAAGGAAUAAAGUGAGGCACGUGUGCCGUUUUGUAUGUACCUUAUGAAUAAGGAUCGGCUAACUCCGUGCCAGCAGCCGCGGUAAUACGGAGGAUCCGAGCGUUAUCCGGAUUUAUUGGGGUUAAAGGGAGCGUAGAUGGGUUGUUAAGUCAGUUGUGAAAGUUUGCGGCUCAACCGUAAAAUUGCACUUGAUACUGGCAGUCUUGAGUGCAGUUGAGGUAGGCGGAAUUCGUUGUGUAGCGGUGAAAUGCUUAGCUAUCACGUAGAACUCCGAUUGCGAAGGCAGCUUACUAAACUGCAACUGACAUUGAUGCUCGAAAGUGUGGGUAUCAAACAGGAUUAGAUACCCUUGUAGUC
rnacentral:rRNA from 1 species